UUAAAAAUUUGAACUUAUUGAAAAUAUAAAAGGAAAUAUUAUGUUUUAGGAAAAAUAAUUUAUUAGUUUGAAUAUUAAGUAAUGUUUAUUAAAAUAUAUAUGUAUAAGAGGUUAUAGUUUAUUAGUAUUGUAAAAGAAAGUUUAAAUAAAUAUGAAAAUUGAAUUAGUAUAAAGUAGUUUUAAAAUAAUGUAUCUUGUGUAUUAUAGAUAGUUUAAAUUAUUUUGAUAUUAAUAAAUCUCGAAAAAAAAAGAGUUAAAAUUAAUUUAAGGUUUUUGUUACAGUAAAAUCUAUAAGUUAAUAUUUAGAGGUGAUAAAUUACUCGGGUUUUUAUAUCUGGUUUUCUAUGAAUUAAAUUAAAUUUAGUUUUCUUUUUAAAAAAAAAGAAAGUUAAGAGGAUGAGAGUAGAGUUUCGUUUUCUAUAAAUAAUAAAAUAUAAUUUAUAAUGGAGAUUUUUAUAAAAUUAGGCUUGUAAGUGGUCAUAUUAUAAAAGUGUUUUAACAUAUAAAUAAUAGUUUGUUAUAUUAUUUGUUAAUAAUAAGUUUAUUUUAUAUAAUUGGAAAUUUUUUUAAGUAAAAACAAUUUAGGUAAAAUGAGUAUAUUAGUAGAAAUAAUAUUUAUUAAAAUAAUAUUAAAAUUAAUAAAAGUUUUUAAGAUUAUUUAGGUUUUUAAAAGUAAUUUAGCAAAUUUAAUUCUCACCUGUUUAACAAAAACAUGUCUAUAGGAAGAUAUAUAAAGUUUAACCUGCCCACUGAUUUAAAAAUUAAAUGGCCGCAGUAUUUUGACUGUGCGAAGGUAGCAUAAUCAUUAGUUUUUUAAUAGAAGGCUUGUAUGAAUGGUUGGAUGAGGAAAUUACUGUCUCUUGAAAAUAAAUUGAAGUUAACUUUUAAGUGAAAAGGCUUAAAUAAUAUAAGGGGACGAUAAGACCCUUUAAAUCUUUACAUUUAUUUAAUUUAUUUUUAAAUAUUAAGUUGAAGAUUAAUAAAUUGGAUAAUUGUUGUGUUGGGGCAACAUAAAUAUAAUAAAUAAUUGUUUAAUUAUUAAUACAAUUGUAAUUGAUUUUAUAAUAGAAGAUCCUUGUUAAAGAUUUAAGAUUAAGUUACUUUAGGGAUAACAGCGUUAUAUUUUUUGAGAGUUCUUAUCGAAAAAAAAGUUUGCGACCUCGAUGUUGAAUUAAAAUUUCUUUGAAAUGCAGUAGUUUCAAUAAGAAAGUCUGUUCGACUUUUAAAAUUUUACAUGAUUUGAGUUCAGACCGGUGUGAGCCAGGUCGGAUUCUAUCUCUUAUUAAAAUAAGAUUAUUUUAGUACGAAAGGAUUAAAUAAUUGAAAUAAUUUUUUAUUAAGAUUAAUAUUUUUACUUUGGCAGAAAUAUGCAUUAGAUUUAGGAUCUAAUUAUGUAAGAAAUAUCU
rnacentral:rRNA from 1 species